rnacentral:lncRNA from 1 species
UUCUCUAGCCCUCCAUUCGUAAUGAGCAACAGUCCCAAAAUUACUCUCUUAUUUUCUUCUGUGCUUUUACUUAUUUAUUUGAGAGAAAGGGAGCAGAAGAGGUGAGAGGGGCAGAGGGAGGGUGAGAGAAACAGACCAUUUGCUGAGAAGGGAGCCCCAAACUAGCCUCAAUUCCAGGUCCUAGACAGCCUGACCUGAGCUGAAGGCAGACUCCUAAAUGACCGAGCAACUCAGGAAUCUCUACCUGAGGUAUUCUUGAGCAGCAUGACGAAUGUACUGAUGGAUUCUCUGUGUCCUUCUAGUUUCAUCCUUGGAUUCAUUCCUCAUAACAAAAUUCAUGGAAAACAUCAGUGAGGAAGAACAAAUCAGUAUCGUCAAGGUGAGCUUCAGUAUCAUUAACGGAGGAAUGAAUGUUGCUUUCUUGGUUUCUUUCCACACAAAUUGUGAUGAUGAAAAUCAGACAGUGGCUCUCUGAGGUGAAAUACAUAAUCUUCCUCUUGAGAAAAGGGCUGAGUGGUUGCCCCUUGCCAACCGUUACCUUAUUUCAGAGGAUGUUUACCAUUGGCAACACCAAAGCUGGAAAUAAACAGCGAGAUGGGGUACAUUCCCUCAGCAGUGGUUUCUCCUGCUUGGUUGAGUGAUCCUGUAGUCAGCAUCUGAAUGAGCUGGAGAGACACAUCCUUCAGGAAAAGCAGCUUCCUCCAGGUGUCCUGUCAUUUAUUUGGGCACCAGUGUGUCAAACAUGAUGUCCCUCCCAUCUGGCUUCCUUAAGUUUUUGAGAGCAGUAAAAUCAGUGCAGAGUAAGAGGGAGCUGAGCCUCAUGGUGUUCUCUCUUCUGUACCUGCAGGUGGCCUCAGAACUAGUGACAGCGAUUGGGCGGUGGAAAAUAUUGAGGAUGAAAUUCCUGAAGAGGAAGAAACCUCAGGUCCGGAAGCACAAUGAGGCGGGAAUCAACAGGAGGGAGUCCCUGGUGCAGUUGGAGUAUACCUGCUACUUUGUAGACUGAGAGUGGGCGGGAUGAAAUAAAGAAGAUGAUGUAUAGGAAUGCA